UUGCCCACGAUCUCCCAACCGCGGCUUCCUCCACCAUCCAUGCCUAUCCCUGUCCUCUGCCUACUCAAAUGGGAUGGCGUACUUCCUUUGCUUCCCUAUCCUCCCCUAUCUCUGCUCUCUGCCCACCCAAUCGGCAUCUGAAUUUCUCUCAUCUAGAAUAGGAGCAGCUCUGAUGGGAGCGAAGAGGUGGAGCCACCGAAUUGGGGAGGAUGCACCGAUGACCGAUGGGGUGGUGAAGAGGUGGGGGAGCUAGCAGAGAAACGGCGGUGGGGCAAAACCCACAUGCUGUGAAGCGAACAAGGAUGGAGCAGCGACGGGUGGUGGGCUGUUGGCAUUUUCAGUUUUAUGUUUGAGGCGUUUGUUUACUUCUUUACUAUCACUGGCACUGGAUUAAUUCAGAGGCAUUGAUUGAGCGGAUUUGCCAUCAAUUUGGCAUCUUGUAGGUGUAAGGCUCAUAUAAUGAUUUGACUUUCUUCAUGCUUUGGCGUUGGUCACCAGAUGGCAUGUGCACGGUGGGGUUUUUGGUGGAGAAGGAGUUCAAAGCUUUCUCGACGGCCGAGAAGAACAAGAUCGGGCAUGUCGAGGAGGCGAUGGAGCCUGACCAGGUGAGCGAUGAGGCAUCUCAUUUAUCUGAGAAGGGUUCAUCGCCAAUCCAGAGGCAGCAAGGCUCGCCAAUCGGUCUUGAAGGAGGCGCAUUUGAUGCAUGCCCUGUAGGGGAAGGCGAAAGCCAUGAUGCCUAGGAGAAGCACCUCCAGGAAGGCCGGUGCGUGGAUGGUACAAAUGUUACUUUGCGAUCAUGUUCGUAAUCGGAGUCCAUGAGUCAAUUAUCUAAAACCAAAGUUGUAUUCAGGCAUGGUUUUUGUUUUUUUGAAGAAGCUUGUGUUUUUCAGCCUCAUGAUCUUUUGUUUUCCAUGACUAUUUUGCUGGCUUCAGAUAUAGAUUCAGUGUUUGGUAGAAAGACUACAUCCGGUCUUGGAAAGGCAGUGAGGUUCUAGCUACACUGAGUAGUAGCAUGUCAAGUUAGAGAGCCUGAAGCAUUUGAAGGACACGGUCCUUCGGUCAGAAGGUGUACAACGUGUGGUCCAAGUGAUAGGAAUGUGUUGAUGAGGAUUGCUGCAGCUAACAAGAGGUUUGCCAACAAAUGCAUUAAGAUUCUGGUAUUGUGUUAUGGUUUAGUAGAUGUAGCUACCACGGCUUUCAUGUUUCAUAAGAAAAUGAAAAUUUCUUGCAUCUUUA